UGAGACACGGUCCAGACUCCUACGGGAGGCAGCAGUAGGGAAUCUUCCGCAAUGGGCGAAAGCCUGACGGAGCAACGCCGCGUGAGUGAUGAAGGUCUUCGGAUCGUAAAACUCUGUUAUUAGGGAAGAACAUAUGUGUAAGUAACUGUGCACAUCUUGACGGUACCUAAUCAGAAAGCCACGGCUAACUACGUGCCAGCAGCCGCGGUAAUACGUAGGUGGCAAGCGUUAUCCGGAAUUAUUGGGCGUAAAGCGCGCGUAGGCGGUUUUUUAAGUCUGAUGUGAAAGCCCACGGCUCAACCGUGGAGGGUCAUUGGAAACUGGAAAACUUGAGUGCAGAAGAGGAAAGUGGAAUUCCAUGUGUAGCGGUGAAAUGCGCAGAGAUAUGGAGGAACACCAGUGGCGAAGGCGACUUUCUGGUCUGUAACUGACGCUGAUGUGCGAAAGCGUGGGGAUCAAACAGGAUUAGAUACCCUGGUAGUCCACGCCGUAAACGAUGAGUGCUAAGUGUUAGGGGGUUUCCGCCCCUUAGUGCUGCAGCUAACGCAUUAAGCACUCCGCCUGGGGAGUACGACCGCAAGGUUGAAACUC
rnacentral:rRNA from 1 species